CAAGCCUCUUAGUCACAGUAAUUGCCAACAUCAGAUCCAGUGUCUAUCUCUGUCUCCCCACGUCCCAGGACCCCAGGUAAGACCAAGAACUCUAUCUAAACUUAAUGACUUGGUGCUGAAAAUGAACUGUUUCCUUUAUAAAUAGAACCCAUCCAACAGCUAUCAUCCCUGGGCAGCCCCAGUCAGUCAGCUAUGAUGUGGUUGUGGUUAAAUGUCCUGUUUCCAAUGAAAACACUGUAAAUGCCCUUGCUUCCAUAAUGAGGCGGGGCAGGGGAAUGAGGGUGGGAAGCUUCAGGAGCACCAGGCUCUGGGUUGACCCUCAGCUCAGUUCUGCCCAGCAUCAUUAACCAGGUGAAUGGGGUGCACGAUAGCUUAACCAAAUCAAAUGACAGCCAUGCCUAGGACCAGGUCUGAAAUAACCCCAAGCGAGACAUUUCCAGGGCUGCUAGGACCCUGGGUUAGUUCAGGUGACAGUUUUCAUGUUUUGAGUCUUUUUCAUUUCUAGAGUUACUUUGGCAACUCUUCUGGGCAUUUUUUUUUUUUAAAAUUUGGGCAGAAGGAGUACUACUGGUGGAUACAGGGUUUCUGUUUGGGGAAACAGAAGAGUUUUGGAAAUAGUAGGAACAGCCAUGAAACUAUAUUUAAAGUGGUUAAAAUGGGAAGUUGUAUGUUGUAUACAUAUUUUGCCAUGAAAGAACAAUUCCUUGAGUAUUUUUUUUUUCUGGUACAGGGGUUGAACUCAGGACCUUGCACUUGCAAGGCAGGUGUAGUACCUCUGAGCUAAAUCUGCAGCCCUGAGGUGUGUUUUUGUAGAUGCUAGCAGAGGACAUAUGUUUUCUCAGCAGCCAGUUGCGGUGCCUCUGGGACUCAGUGGAGAACCCGGGAGUGAACAGAAUGAAAGGAUGAAGGAUUGGGCCCCUUGGGAAGGAAGGAGCCCUGGCCAGCUGAUCGGGAGCUGUGCUGAGAUCCACACUCUUCCUGGGAUAGCCAAGGAGACCCCUGCAUGGCGGGAAGAUGACCUUGGGACCCUGUCCUUCAACACCAAAGGAUUCCAGAAUCCUCCCUGGGGUCUGCAGGGAGAAGCUGCUUUUGCCCCUGAGGGACAGCCGAAGACAGAGCCCUCGGGCUCUGCCUGGCAAGACUGUGCCAACCGCAGAGCCCUCCGCCAGGAGAGGAGGAGGAUGAUAGAGAAGGAUGUGCUCCAGAAAGUAACCUGGGGUGCCUGGGACCCAGCCUGUGGUGACCGAGCCCAGGCUGCGGAGUCAGGUCCCAGGCUAGCGGCACACUUGAAGGGGCCUUGGGAAGACCGGCUGGUACUCUCGCUCCAGACCACACUGUGCCACGAUCCCAGGACAGACUUCUGGAGCAGCUGGUCCUUCUGUGUCCCACGCAGCACAGAGCCUCCACCUCUGCCCAGAAGGUGCCUGCCCAGAUGCCCAAAGACACCAAGGAAAAGGAGGCCGGAAGCAGGUGAGACUUGGUGCCAGCCAUGGCCUGUUGUCUGAAGACUGGUCCACAUCAGGCAGCACUGAUUGGGCCUACUAUGUGUGAGGCACUUAAUGUGCCACUUUCUCAUUUAAUCUCAAGAAUUGGAUCAAGGGCCAGGGAUUUAGCUCAGUGGUUCCAUCGCCUGACUCACAAGUCCAAGGUCCCGAGUUCAAUCCCCAGUACCAAACUCCCCCCUUGGAAAAAAAAGAAUUGGAUCAGGCACGCAGCCCUAAAUCUGAGGCCAAGAGAAGUUGCCUUUCUUAGGCUAUAAAUGGCAUAGCUGAGAAUUGCUUCCCCAAAGCACCUGCCCCAAACCUAUAGGAACCUCCUUCCACUGUCCAUCCAUUUGGUCUCCUGGGAAGCAGCACCUUCCCCUCACACCACACCAAUGGGUCCGGCCCUGGGGAUGUGUCCCCAGCCAGGUCAGUCAGAGCUUUCCCUGGGAUUUGAUGACCUGUGUGUCCCUGUGAAGGGCUAAAGGGCUGUUGGCAGCCACCUGAGGUUCCACAUGGAGAAAGGCAGGCUGCAGUGAUGGAGUGGAGAUGGG
rnacentral:lncRNA from 1 species